rnacentral:misc_RNA from 1 species
CGAACUGCGAUAAGUAAUGUGAAUUGCAGAAUUCAGUGAAUCAUCGAGUCUUUGAACGCACAUUGCGCCCCCUGGCAUUCCGGGGGGCAUGCCUGUCCGAGCGUCAUUGCUGCCCUUCAAGCCCGGCUUGUGUGUUGGGUCGUCGUCCCCCCCGGGGGACGGGCCCGAAAGGCAGCGGCGACACCGUGUCCGGUCCUCGAGCGUAUGGGGCUUUGUCACCCGCUCGAUUAGGGCCGGCCGGGCGCCAGCCGGCGUCUCCAACCUUAUUUUUCUCAGGUUGACCUCGGAUCAGGUAGGGAUACCCGCUGAACUUAAGC